UCUCUUAUUCUGCUAACACCCAACCCACUACUCAAAACACACCCAAUCCCCUUCGUCUUCCUCCCGCACAGAACACCGCAACCCCAAUCCUCCUCCUGCCUCCUUCCUCCCCGUGUCGCCGGAUCCCCACCCAAUCACACACCGCCGGAGCCCUACACCUCCACGCGCCGCCAGAGCCACGCCCGUCCCGCCGCUGCCGCCCAUCCCAUGUACCAACGGAUCCGGUGGCAGCCCCACCACCAGCCACACAACCUCCACCGGAACAGUGGGGCAGUACCACGACCGUGGUCCUAGACAUUCACCGGGAUCUGGAGGCUAGUGCGGCCAUGGCCUGGAGCUCACCUCUUCUCUCGCACGGGGACGUUGGCUACCGCUGAGCGCAGCUACCAACGGAUACCGCCGGAUCCCAACCGCCAGCCACGCCACCUCCUAUUGCAGUCCUCCCUCCCCGUUGCAGUCCAAGCGUCCCGGGCUUGCAGUGCGCCGGGGCACACGAUGUGGUGUGGCGCGCGUGGCUGUGCAGUUGCAUCACCCCCGCCCCCUAACAACCAUGAACAACAACGAGGCUAGCAGUGGACACAGCCGAGCAUCCCUCUCCUCUGCUCCCUUCCACAACCUACAUCCAUGAAGGUGCCUGUGAGUCUGUGAUGAUGAGUUCAUUCUCUGGUGGCAAGGUGAUGCAUUUUUCAAGAUGGUGUGUUGUUCCAUCAGUGUGGCAGUGCAGUACACGGGCGUGGGUUUGCAAUGUGGUGCCCGUCAGCGUGUAGCCCACGAUGAUGGCCAUAUCACGCUGGUGCUUUUUUAAUUGUGCGUUUAUAUUGUUCUCCCAUGGCCAUCAUCCCAUAUUUGUGUGCCUAAUGGUCCAUGGCCAACUCCACCACAGGCCAUCCUUUGCUGUAGUCCCCCGCCCACCCACUGCCCCCUACACACCAUCUCUGUACCUAAUGGCAUGUAGUUCGAUGAUGUUUGACCGCGCAGAGGAUUUCAGCAGGGGUAUGUGCGAUAACAACGAAAAUGUGGGGGGUGGCUGCAUUGCUCAGGGCAGCUGGCCACGCUGUUCCUCUAUGCCGUGUCGCGUGCGUGUUGUGGAGGUUCACUUGAUGCAUUGUUGUAUGUUCACUUGCGGCCAUGCAUUGAUUUUUAUUUUGUCCGUUUGUAGUUCUGCGGUUGAGGGUGUGCAUCUCAUCCCUGGGGUUGUUGCAGUCCGGCGAGUGAGGCGUUGUGGUCCAGCAGGUGAGGUGCACGAGGAUAGUGACGAUGGCUGAACCUCCCUAAGAAAAGAACAUGGUUGAGGACCGACUAGCUAUCGAGGAGGCAGCUGAUACUGAAGAUGCUACCUCCAUAACAGUGUUAUCCCCUCUAAUUCUACGGACGAGCUGAACAGAACUGCGGUCAUCCCAAGCCCGCUGCCGAGGAGGCCGAUGAGUGCGCCCACAGCAUCACCGCCUACCUCAACCUCGUGUCGGGCGACUGCUAUGGGGACAACACCGUCGCCUCCUCCAUCGUGCAGGGAGAAAACUAAUGAUUUUCUCAGGAAGGAAUCACAAGAUUUGUGGUGGGCCUUAGACAGCCCUUGAAGAACUUUAGAGGGAAAGAAGUUCAAUCAUUGUGAAGUGAAGGCAUUCUGGUUGAUGUUGUGGCGAAGAUCUCUAGUGCAAAAUUCUCAAGGCGAGAAGAGGAUGAGGAUCUCCAUCCCUGCCCCCAUGCAGUUCACUCGACGCACCCGUGUGGUGCGAAGUGCAUCUACAUGCAAUCCACUAGCCGGUGGUGUGGAGCAUAUGUGUGCAGUAAGGUUCGGACGUUGGUGUAGUUCACUGCUGGGUGGUGCUUCAGUGUAGUUUGCCUGCGCUUGUAGUGCAUGCGAGGAGGACGAUAGUCCAUGGCGUGGACAUGUAGUUCACUUGUGGUUCCAUGCGCUCGGAUGCGCGACUAUUGUUGCUCGGAUGCACACCUGCGUUAUUCGGAUGCGCAUCGAGAUGCAGUUCCAGGAGAAGCUCGACCAUGUGUUGUUCGGCUAGUCGGUGUGUGUGCAGAUUGUUUCUUUUGUUUGAUGGCGUGCAGUUGGUGCAUGUGCUUAGAUGUGCGGGGCAGCAUGUUCAAAAACCUUGGGUGUAUUUUGGUGCAGUUCCCUAGUCUCCCAUCUACAGUACCAUGAUGUCUAGAAUAAAAUUGUUUGAAGAAGGCAAAAAAGUAGUUUAUCCAAUUUUUGUAGAAGCUCAUUACCCCUCUGUAUGAAGUGCAAUUUGUAUCUUGUGUUUUAAAAUUCAGUCGACUAAACCAACA